GAACGCUGGCGGCAUGCCUUACACAUGCAAGUCGAACGGCAGCACGGGAGCAAUCCUGGUGGCGAGUGGCGAACGGGUGAGUAAUAUAUCGGAACGUGCCCAGUCGUGGGGGAUAACGCAGCGAAAGUUGUGCUAAUACCGCAUACGAUCUAUGGAUGAAAGCGGGGGAUCGCAAGACCUCGCGCGAUUGGAGCGGCCGAUAUCAGAUUAGGUUGUUGGUGAGGUAAAAGCUCACCAAGCCUGCGAUCUGUAGCUGGUCUGAGAGGACGACCAGCCACACUGGAACUGAGACACGGUCCAGACUCCUACGGGAGGCAGCAGUGGGGAAUUUUGGACAAUGGACGAAAGUCUGAUCCAGCAAUGCCGCGUGCAGGACGAAGGCCUUCGGGUUGUAAACUGCUUUUGUACAGAACGAAAAAGUCUUUAAUAACACUAGAGGCUCAUGACGGUACUGUAAGAAUAAGCACCGGCUAACUACGUG
rnacentral:rRNA from 1 species